ACGAGCUAGACGGCGUUACAUGUUUUUUUUUGCCAAAAACUCCUGCCUAAAAAAAUCUACAAAACAGCACCCCUCGCUCCCUGCACGCGUGCAGGCCAGCCUCAACUCUGGCCCCGCCGGCGGCAGGCGCCCACACACUCACGUCGCCAGGCCUCCCUCCCUGGGCCGCUGCCGUCGUGUCCAGAGCCGGAUCCAGCCACAUCGGGCCUCCAACGCUCCGGCCCGGCAAUGGAUCCGGCGAGAACGCGUCGGCCAGCUCUCGUGGCAGAUGUUCCUUCGACAUCAGCAAACGAGCUAUUCCAGGCGGCGGGGCGACAUGGCAACUCGCGCCGAUGUGUCGCCGCCAUGGACAUCCCUGAGAUCACGCCCCUGUGCUGCCCCUCCGCCGUUCUCGACUGGAUCCAGGAGUCGGCGCCGCCAGCCCAGCCCCCUUCGCGCCUAGAGCAGCUGCUGAGGAGGGCACUGUCAGUCCACCAGUGAGCGAGAGGCGACGGAGGAGUGAUGCGUGCAGGAGCUCGGCGGCUAUGGCGACCUGCAGCACCGCCUUGCCAUGCGGCCGGCCUCGCAGAGGGCGCCACCUCCAGGCCGAGCGCCGAGGUCGGGUAGCGCACCUCGCUGUGAGGGGUUGUUCCUCGGGCCCAGCCUCUGCCGCCUUUGCUCAGCGUGUCCACGACAGUCGCCUUGAGGAUGCCCUUGGGCCGCGGCGACCGGCGGCGAGACCCAUUGCCGGCGUGCUGCUGCUCUUCUCGGCUGGGCUGCUUGGGCAGCCCAAAUCUAUGGAUGGAGUGGAUUGCUUUUUGCUCUUUGAUUGAAGGGUGUCCCUAUAAAACUACAGGGCCCCUUUUGUAAAUCUAGAAAAUCGAGAUGCUUAACGCCGUCCCCGUGAACAAUUACACCACGUCAUCAUUUAUGGGACCUAUCUGUCAUAAUCGUCAUCAAAACGACCAAAGCCGUCAACUAGUGUUUGUUGCA